AUGGCGGUGAUGGUUGUGGCCCAAUGGACCCUUGGGAGGACAGUGGGGCAUAGGGGCCCUCUGACACCCUUCAACCAGCCAGUACUCUCCAACCAUCAACGAAUGGCCAGACGCGGCCCCGAUGCCUACGUGGCCUCCUACCUGCUGGCUGCCCUCGGGGGUAACUCCUCCCCCAGUGCCAAGGACAUCGAGAAGAUCUUGGACAGCGUGGGCAUCGAGGUGGACGACGACCGGCUCAACAAGAUUAUUAGUGAGCUGAAUGGAAAAAACAUUGAAGACGUCAUUGCCCAGGGUAUUGGCAAGCUUGCCAAUGUACCUGCCGGUGGGGCUGUAGCCGUCUCUGCUGCCCCAGGCUCUGCAGCGUCUGCUGCUGGCUCCGCGCCUGCUGCUGCAGCAGAGGAGAAGAAAGAUGAGAAGAAGGAGGAGUCUGAAGAAUCAGACGAUGACAUGGGAUUUGGCCUCUUUGAUUAAAUUCCUGCUUCCCUGCAAAUAAAGCCUUUUUACACAUUAAAAAAAAAAAA